rnacentral:rRNA from 1 species
GGGAUCCUACGGGGGGCAGCAGUGGGGAAUUUUGCGCAAUGGGGGAAACCCUGACGCAGCAACGCCGCGUGCGGGACGAAGGCCCUCGGGCUGUAAACCGCUUUCAGCAGGGAAGACAUCGACGGUACCUGCAGAAGAAGCUCCGGCUAACUACGUGCCAGCAGCCGCGGUAAUACGUAGGGGGCGAGCGUUAUCCGGAUUCAUUGGGCGUAAAGCGCGCGUAGGCGGCCGCCUAAGCGGAACCUCUAACCCCGGGGCUCAACCUCGUGCCGGCUUCCGGCCUGGUCGGCUCGUGUGCGGUAGAG